UAUGGCCAUAUUACAUUGAAACACCAGUUCUCAUACAAUCACUGUAGUUAAGCAAUGUCAAGCCUGGUCAGUACCUAGAUGGGUGACCACUUCAAAAUACCAGGUGCUGUAAG